UCGGGAAUAUUGCGCAAUGGAGGAAACUCUGACGCAGUGACGCCGCGUGCAGGAAGAAGGUUUUCGGAUUGUAAACUGCUUUAGACAGGGAAGAAAAAGGACAGUACCUGUAGAAUAAGCUCCGGCUAACUACGUGCCAGCAGCCGCGGUAAUACGUAGGGAGCAAGCGUUAUCCGGAUUUAUUGGGUGUAAAGGGUGCGUAGACGGGAAGUCAAGUUAGUUGUGAAAUCCCUCGGCUCAACUGAGGAACUGCAACUAAAACUAACUUUCUUGAGUGCUGGAGAGGAAAGUGGAAUUCCUAGUGUAGCGGUGAAAUGCGUAGAUAUUAGGAGGAACACCAGUGGCGAAGGCGACUUUCUGGACAGUAACUGACGUUGAGGCACGAAAGUGUGGGGAGCAAACA
rnacentral:rRNA from 1 species